rnacentral:rRNA from 1 species
AUUGAACGCUGGCGGCAUGCCUUACACAUGCAAGUCGAACGGCAGCGGACCUUCGGGUGCCGGCGAGUGGCGAACGGGUGAGUAAUAUAUCGGAACGUACCUUUCAGUGGGGGAUAACGUAGCGAAAGUUACGCUAAUACCGCAUAUUCUGUGAGCAGGAAAGCAGGGGAUCGCAAGACCUUGCGCUGAUUGAGCGGCCGAUAUCAGAUUAGCUAGUUGGUGAGGUAAAGGCUCACCAAGGCGACGAUCUGUAGCGGGUCUGAGAGGAUGAUCCGCCACACUGGAACUGAGACACGGUCCAGACUCCUACGGGAGGCAGCAGUGGGGAAUUUUGGACAAUGGGCGCAAGCCUGAUCCAGCCAUGCCGCGUGUGUGAUGAAGGCCCUCGGGUCGUAAAGCACUGUCGGGAGGGACGAAGAUCUGACGGUACCUCGCAAGAAAGCACCGGCUAACUCCGUGCCAGCAGCCGCGGUAAAGUCG